CUGCGCGGAUGCGAUCGGCCCAGGGCCCUUUUAAAAUUGAUCUCCCAGGCGCCCUCUCUUUUCGGUCGCAGCACGCUGCUCGGUAAGUGCGUACCGACCCGCCAAGCGUGGGAGCCCGCCACGUGGCUGAGGGUCUCGCCGGCGGGUGGCCCUUUCCCGAGCCCGGGACAGGGGUUCGGCCUCAGCUCGGCGCCAAGGGCGGGGCCCCUGUAGGUGCAGAAGUCCAACAAUUGGACUUAACCAAGACCGAGGCGCAGAUCCAGGGACCCCCUCCGGGUUUUAAGCGCCCCUGGGGCUCCCGCCUGCCCGGUUGUUGGGGACCGCGACAUAGCCUACUUAGGAAAUCGAUGAGAUCUGAGGUCUGAAGCGCUUUAAGUUUCCGAGCAGAACAGUAUAAUUCCAGUGCUAGCAACAAGCGGAGGUAAUUUCGCCCACAUUGCCACUUUCCCGCCACAAAUGCUUUCCAGUUGCCACUUUGCGGAGUUUGUAUUUUUAAAAAGGUUUGAGUGAAUCUUCCGGUAGCCGAUGACUGCAGUGAGUCAAGCAGAGAGCUGGGAGGUUUCCUGAGGGAUCCCACAAUUUUCUCCCCCAGAUCCACCUGGAGAGGCUGGUGUGCUGCACAGGGUCCCUUGCAAAAUGUGCUGGGGGCCAGGCCUGUCUUGCUUGGUCCUAUGGAGGGUGGAGGGUGGAGAGGGGAUGUGCUUGGACAAGGGGUUAGACACCUAACUUCUGUCCCCAAGAUGUAAGAAGCAUACAAAGCUGCCCUUGAGAAAGUUUGUCUGAAGGAAGAAUUUCCAAGCCUUGGGGCUUGUGUGUUUGGUUUUUUUUUUUUAAGCAUCCUGACAAUUCUAAAUGUAAUGCACUCUAGGGCGCUAAACUGCUGUACAAAAGGAUAUUUUCUGAAUUUGUCAAAAACUAUAAAGAUCUAAAUUUAGACAAGUGAAUGAAAGACUCAUUGUGUCUGUAAUAGGAACCACUUAGUAGUCUUUUGUUUUUGUUUUUCAAUGCAUAUGACAUCUUUAUUGAGGUAUUAAUAUUCAAUUAAUUGUGUUUAUUUAAUGAGUGCAAUUCAAGGAAUAUCAACAGCAUUUUGUAAACUUUUCCAGAGAAUAUUUUGAAUAAUGAGAAACUACUUGUGUAUACUGCUAAAAAUAAUCUACUGACAACACUAAGUAAUGAAAAUAUAUAUAUAUAGGGUAACUGACACUCUCAUGUAUGCCUGGUGCAAAAUUAGAAUAAUCGCUUUUUAUUUUAGUCAGCUUUUCAUUAGUAUUACACACACACCAACUAAUUUAUAAAGAGAGUGGAAUUAUUUUGGCUCAGUUAUGUAGGUUCUAGUUCUUGAUAGACUGGCUCUGUUUGUUUGGGGUAUGUGGCAAGAUAGCACAUUAUGGCAGUAGUCUUAUAAGACUUUUUUUUUAGUCUUAUAAGUCUUGUGUUUGACAUGUGUUCCUCAGCUCUGAUAGACUCUUACUACCCUUUCAAUACGAGGAAGCUGAAUGGGACAUCAAUUUUACUGGUUUGAAAGAGGAAAGAAGGGCAGUGAUGUAACCUGUGUUCUAGGCACCUUUUGUUCAGCCACAAAUCUAGACCCAAGCAACGAACAGAUUGUCAAAUAGCCCAGUGACACAAGAACCUCCAAUGGGUAUUUUUUGUUUUACCAUUGAUUUAGGUGUUGAGGAUUCCUGUUGAACCAAACUAGGUUAACAUUCAGUUUGAUGCAGGCUGAGAGCCUGGCAUGUCAAGGAAGCAGCCCUGAGCCAGUGUCUAUUUAAGGAUUUGGAAACUGAGCAAGUGCCCAGGACUAGAAACUUCUCAACCCUAGGCUCUCAGCCUCAGGGUAAAAAAGUUUCAUGCUUCUUUUAAUUUUAAAUCUGUGAAAAGUUUAUUUCAGUUUUUUAGGAGAAUACUGUAUCCAAGUAAUGUUUCUUUUCCAAACUUGAUACUAUUGCAUGCUAAUGUAACAAAGAGAUAAAGUUGGAAAGAUGGCAACUGCUAAAGUAAAAUUGAUUCCCAGAGUAUAAGGAACUUAAAAUCUUUGGAAUUGUCAGGAAUUUGGAGACCAUAGCUUUGUAUUUUAUCUAUUCAUCAAAGACAGCUAGUAGAUAGCCACAAUACAGGCCACUCUUUAAACAACAAAGCUGGAUUAUCAUUAUUAUUAUUAUUAUUAUUUCUCCGGGGAUUGAACUCAGUGGCAUUGACCACUGAGCCACCUCCCCAGCCCUAUUUUGUAUUUUAUUUAGAGACAGGAUCUCACUGACUUGCUUAGUGUUUCUCACUUUUGCUGAGGCUGGCUUUGAACUCGUGAACCUCCUGCCUCAGCCGCCCAAACCACUGGGAUUACAGGUAUGUGCCAUCAUACUCAGUCGGAUAUUCUUAACAUUAACCUUGUUGUUACUUUUUUGCCAGGCUCAGUGGUGAUCAAGAUCCUGAAGAACAAAAGGUAUGGACCAAAUGGAAACAAUUUGGCUUGAGUUCAUAGUGGAAUAGAAUUCUUGGCCAAGGAUGAGAACUCUAACCUGAUUGGAUAUGUUCUGCUCUGAUGGGUUAAAGGAUUUACCUGAGGCCAACUUGGUAUACAGGAAUUUAGUAAAUGCAGUCACACCAUUCCUUUUAAAAUUCUGCUUUACACAGAAGAGGGCGAAAGCCUCUAGUAAAUGGAUUAAUGCUUCAUCAAGCCAAGAGAGUUAAAAUUUUUUGAGUUAAAAAUUUUGUGGGUUUUUUGUUUUGUUUUGUUUUGUUUUUGCAUGUGUGUACACUAAAAUGUUUGUGUCAACAAUGGGUACAUUGGGGAUUCUGUUUCUUAUUUCUGCAGUUUUUGUAAACAUAGUCUGAGGGCUCUGGGGAUUUAGCUCAGAUGGUAGAGUGCUUGCUUUGCAAGGCCAUGGGUUCGAUCCCAAGCACCACACACACAAAAGAACAUAGUUUAGAUACUACUAUAUUAUUUUAUUGAUUAGUAAUUGCUGACCUAAUAAUCUACUGUAUUUCUUUUACAGGUCUGAUGCAUGAAAGAAUCAGUAAAGCUGUUCAAGUAAUAAGGUAUAUGGCUGUAUGGAAUAGAGGUUUUGAUGUCUUUGUCCCUUUCUUGGUGGUCACAGAGGUGAAUUUUGAGACAGUCCUAAUUACAUAUAUGAGCAUAUCUGGGAAUUGUACCUCUGCCCUGUAGCUGAAUUGGACUCUUAGAGUCAUUUCUGUAGAAUUUAGUUCCACAUUUAGAUUUUCUGUUAGCAAGGCUAGUUUGAAACUUGACACAGAAUUAACAUUAAAGAUUGUCUUUAUUGUUGGUUCAUAGACUCUACAAAGAUGACCAAGGCUGGUUCAUUAAGAUCAGAGCCAGGAGGGGUGGUACACACCUGUAAUGCCAGUAGCUCAGGAAGCUGAGGCAGGAGAAUCACAAGUUCAAAGCCAGCCUCAGCAACUUAGUGAAGCCCUGUCUCUAAAUAAAUAUUUAAAAAGGGCUGGGGUUGUGGCUCAGUGGUUAAGUACCCCUGGAUUCAACUCAUGGUACCAAAAAGAAAAAAAGAUCAGUUAGAAUAAUUCUAAAUUAAAUAGCUAUUUUAAAAAGUAUCUUAAGAAAUUGUUGACUGCUUUAAUUUACAAAAGUCAUUAUAAAAUUAUUCUUACUAUUCCAGACAAUCAUGUGCUUUUAUUGUAUACUCAAUUAGUAGAGGCGUAAAUAUGGUAGGACUAGAAUUAAAUUCUAAGAUUUACCUCUUAACCUGAGCAAAAUAUCUGUACAUCAUAGCAAAAUUUGAAACUGUCCUCAUUGUUGGUUGACUAAAGAAAAGUUUAAAAUACUUUCAAAAACUUGGCUUUGUGUGUUUUGUAUGCUUCCAUCUUUUUUCACAGCCGAUCAUUUUGGUGAUUAGAUCUGACCCUCUUGACAGAAAAUGGAUCAAUUGAUUCCAAGAACAGGAAGGGGUUGAUUGCAAAGGGCUAGGAGGGGAUUUUCGAAGUGAUUUUUACAUCUUGUUCUACAUCUUGAUCAUCUUGGUGAUUGCAUGAUUAUGUGUUUGUCAAAUAUCACACUUAACAGGAUGAAUUUUACAGAAUAUAAAUUCGUACUAAAAUAAGCAUGACUUUAAAAACAUCCUUUCUGGUAUCUUAAUAACGUUUCCAAAGCGAUCUAUGGGAGAGUGGUUUGGGAUCACCAUUUAACAUGAUUUUAUUGAGACAUUAAGAGCAACAGAAAUGCAUGAAGAUCAUUUUUAGGGUAUAAGUGACUCAUGCACAUGAUAAAUAUCAGAGAAAAGUAAGAUACUGA
rnacentral:lncRNA from 1 species